UGAGGAACAUGACUUUCGGCGGGGGAUAGCCGGCCCAACGGCCGGGUAAUACCGCGUACGACCUUUUGGGGACAUCCCCGAUUGGUGAAAGCAGCAAUGCGCCGAAAAGAGUGCCUCGCGGCCUAUCAGCUAGUUGGUGGGGUAAUGGCCCACCAAGGCUACGAUCAGUAGCUGGUCUGAGAGGAUGAUCAGCCACAUUGGGACUGAGACACGGCCCAAAACUCCGUACGGGAGGNAGCG
rnacentral:rRNA from 1 species